CGGCAGCCCGAGUGGUGCUCACUAUUAUUGGGUCUAAAGGGUCCGUAGCCGGUUAGAUCAGUCUUUUGGGAAAUCUGACAGCUUAACUGUUAGGCUUCCAAAGGAUACUGUCAGACUUGGGACCGGGAGAGGUAAGAGGUACUACAGGGGUAGGAGUGAAAUCUUGUAAUCCCUGUGGGACCACCAGUGGCGAAGGCGUCUUACCAGAACGGGUCCGACGGUGAGGGACGAAAGCUGGGGGCACGAACCGGAUUAGAUACCCGAGUAGUCC
rnacentral:rRNA from 1 species